AACAAGGUUUUCCGAUGGUCCUUCUCGCCCGAAGGUUCGAGUCGCACGGAAGCCUAAGUGACCAGGGGCGAUUGAAAAAAGACCCUGCGUUGCUAGUGCCGAGCGAGAAAUGCUCGCGACGUUGCCAAAUUGCGGGGAAGACCUCUUUAUUGCGCGGGUUACCAAGCACGGCGGCCGUGCGUCCGUUUUUUAGGAUAAAGCACGCGCCGAGUGUGGCCAGGCCGUAUGAGCCUGGGUGUGGUAAUAACAUCCGACGCUCAUUCCAUUUUCUGGAAAAAAGGUGGACCCGCAGCCAAACCCGUUUCGGCGGGUGCUGUCCACAGACUAAAUGGCAACGGGCCCGUCCCAAUUAAAUGGCGACGGCUCAAGAUAUAGUCGGGCCUGCAGGUGCAUAAUCUGCAGGAAAUUGGAAAAAGCCUUCUCGCAAGUGAAUUCACCGUUCCGUAGG
rnacentral:ncRNA from 13 species